rnacentral:lncRNA from 1 species
UUUACUUGCAGUUGUUUAGUACCCUAUGAAUAGCACUAAUAGAGAAUAUAUCACCAUAAAAAUUGCUGAAAUAGUAGUAAGGAAAAGGACACACUUUAAUAUGCUAGAAUCAGUUAGAUAAUGCAUACCACAAGAGGCAAACCAGCGACAACGAAUACAUCCACUGAGUAGCCAUCGAUUGUUGAAAAUGAGUGUGGAUGCCAAGACCGAGAUCACCAAGAAAACAAGUGAGUUGUAAUUGUAUGUAUAAGUGUCGGUAUAAGAAUCGAACCAGAUACUGAGUAGUGGACCUGGUCUCAAUGUACUUUACAGUAAAGUUCAAGUGAUUUUAGUACAAUGACAAAAGCCUGUAAAAGGUGAUUCCACUAAAAGCCUGUAACGACCCCAGCGCAGCCUCGCCAUCGCACCUCGCCGGCGACGCUCCCGGACACACGCCCAGACCUAGAGGCCACCAUGGGGGCGAUGCCGCGGGUGCUCCCGAACGAGCUCGUCGAAUAGAUCCUCCUCCUCCGCCGCCUGAUGAUCCGGACUGCCUCCUCCGCGCCUCGCUCGUCUGCAAGACCUGGAGCGACAUUGUCUUCCACCGCGCGUUCUGCCGCCGCCACCACGAGCUACACAGGGAACCACCUGUCCUCGGCUUCCUCCACAACUGGAACGACGAGGUCAUCCCCCGCUUCACCCCCACCACCGCCUCAUCCUUCUCCCUCGCCG